UACUUAUUGGUGUAAGAGCAUGGAAAAUUUUGAUUUUUUAGGUUGUGGUUUAAAUCCAUGAUAAGUAU
rnacentral:tRNA from 1 species